CCCUUAGAUGUCCUGGGCUGCACGCGCGCUACACUGAUGUGUCCAGUAAGCACCUAACCUCUUCCGAAAGGAACGGGUAACCUUUGCAAAGCACAUCGUGAUGGGGAUAGAUUAUUGCAAUUAUUAGUCUUGAACGAGGAAUUCCUAGUAAGCACAAGUCAUCAGCUUGUGUUGAUUACGUCCCUGCCCUUUGUACACACCGCCCGUCGCUCCUACCGAUUGAAUGCUCAGGUGGGCCAUUCGGACUUUCAUCAUGCUGGUUUCCAGUUUUGAUGAAGGAAAGUCUUGCGAACCUUAUCAUUUAGAGGAAGGAGAAGUCGUAACA
rnacentral:rRNA from 1 species